rnacentral:rRNA from 1 species
AUUGAACGCUGGCGGCAGGCUUAACACAUGCAAGUCGAGCGGAGAUGAGGUGCUUGCACCUUAUCUUAGCGGCGGACGGGUGAGUAAUGCUUAGGAAACUGCCUAUUUGUGGGGGACAACAUUCCGAAAGGAAUGCUAAUACCGCAUACGUCCUACGGGAGAAAGCAGGGGAUCUUCGGACCUUGCGCUAAUAGAUGAGCCUAAGUCGGAUUAGCUAGUUGGUGGGGUAAAGGCCUACCAAGGCGACGAUCUGUAGCGGGUCUGAGAGGAUGAUCCGCCACACUGGGACUGAGACACGGCCCAGACUCCUACGGGAGGCAGCAGUGGGGAAUAUUGGACAAUGGGGGGAACCCUGAUCCAGCCAUGCCGCGUGUGUGAAGAAGGCCUUAUGGUUGUAAAGCACUUUAAGCGAGGAGGAGGCCACUGAGACUAAUACUCUUGGAUAGUGGACGUUACUCGCAGAAUAAGCACCGGCUAACUCUGUGCCAGCCGCCGCCGUAA